UUUAGCGGUUUGACCUAGUCAAACAGCUAAAAUUGGUCAAAUCAGCUAAAAAAUGGCUGAUCAGCCAAUAUCCAAACACCCCCUAUUAAUGUAGCUUUCUG